GGGCCCGUAGCUCAGCCAGGAUAGAGCGUCGGCCUGCGGAGCCGGAGGUCCCGGGUUCAAAUCCCGGCGGGCCCG
rnacentral:tRNA from 1 species